GAACGCACAUUGCGCCUUCCGGUAUUCCGGAAGGCAUGCCUGUUCGAGCGUCAUAUGAACACCUCAAGCAUGAAUUUAUUCCUACUUGGUAUUGGUCAAGGAUUGAGCUUGCCUUCUUCCUGUCCGAAAUGCAAUGGCGAAGUUCUGUCUUCCAUUCAGUGUAGUAAUCAACGUUAUGUUUCACUUCUGGACAUGAGAGGCUUCUGCUACAAAUUAAAUUCCCCAAUUCUAAAGUUUGACCUCGGAUCAGGUAGGGAUACCCGCUGAACUUAAG
rnacentral:misc_RNA from 1 species